AGAACGAACGCUGGCGGCAUGCCUAAUACAUGCAAGUCGAACGAACUCUUCGGAGUUAGUGGCGCACGGGUGCGUAACGCGUGGGAAUCUGCCCUUGGGUUCGGAAUAACAGUUGGAAACGACUGCUAAUACCGGAUGAUGACGAAAGUCCAAAGAUUUAUCGCCCAGGGAUGAGCCCGCGUAGGAUUAGCUAGUUGGUGAGGUAAAGGCUCACCAAGGCGACGAUCCUUAGCUGGUCUGAGAGGAUGAUCAGCCACACUGGGACUGACGACACGGCCCAGACCUCCGUACGGGAGGCAGCGAGGUAGGGAAUAGUUGGAACAAGUGGGACGAAAGCCUGAUCCAGCAAGUGCCGCGUGAGUGA
rnacentral:rRNA from 1 species